UAUUCUUCUAGAAGAGUUGUGAAUUUAGUUUAGGCUUAGGUCUAUUCAUUUUGAAUUUAUUUUUAUGGGGUGAGGUAAGGUCAGAUACCUAGUUAUUCCAGGAUCAUUUCUUGAAGAGAUUUUUCUUUCUCUGUUGAAUUACUUUAGCCCAUUGACUGGAAAUCAGUUGGCCAUCUUAGUGUGGCCUAUUUCUGAAUUCCAUUACGUUUCUUGAUCUGUAUGUCCACUCUUAGGUCAUGACCGUACUCUCUUGGCUAUCAUAGCUUUAUAGUGAGUACUGGAAUCAGGUAGUGUAAGUUCUUUGGUAAAGUAGGUCCAUUGCAUUUCCUUAUAAACUAUAGAAUCAACUUGGUAAUUUUUAAAAACUUGGAAUUUUGAUUGCCAUUAGGUCAAAUCCAUUCAUCAAUUUGGACAGAAUUGCCAUCUUAAGCCUUCCAGUUCAUGGUCAUGAUACAGUUUUCCAUUUAUUUUUCUCUCUUUAAUUUCUCUAAGUGGUCUCUUAGAACUUUCAAAGUAUAGGGCUUGUACUGAUUAAUCUCAACGUAUUUCAGCUAUUUGGAUGUCCUUAUAAGUGGCAUUUACAAACUUUAACGUGUUUAUUGUUUAUUGUAUGUAGAGAUGCAGAAUUGAUUUUCAUAUGUUAUCCCUAUACCUUGAGACCUUGCUAAACUCACCUGUUAGUUUCACUAUUUUUCCUUAUAGGUUUUCUAUGAUUUCUUACAUACACAACAAUGUCACUGCAAAUAAAGAAUUUUCUUUUUAACUUUUCAAUCUGUGUGCUUUCAGUUUCUCUUUCUGGCCUGACUGCAGUGGCUGUCUCCUGCAGGAUGACAUUGACUGGGAGCAGUACCAGUGGUCUCCUGCAGUAUGACAUUGAUUAGGAGCAGUAGCAGUGGUCUCCUGCAGGAUGACAUUGAUUAGGAGAAGUACCAGUGGUCUCCUGCAGGAUGACAUUGAUUGGGAGCAGGACCAGUCGUCUCCUGAAGGAUGACAUUGACUGGGAGCGGUACCAGUGGUCUCCUGCAGGAUGACAUUGAUUAGGAGCAGUACCAGUGGUCUCCUGCAGGAUGACAUUGAUUAGGAGCAGUACCAGUGGUCUCCUGCAGGAUGACAUUGACUGGGAGCAGUAGCAGUGGUCUCCUGCAGGAUGACAUUGAUUAGGAGCAGUAGCAGUGGUCUCCUGCAGGAUGACAUUGAUUAGGAGCAGUAGCAGUGGUCUCCUGCAGGAUGACAUUGAUUAGGAGCAGUACCAGUGGUAUCCUGCAGGAUGACAUUGAUUAGGAGCAGUACCAGUGGUAUCCUGCAGGAUGACAUUGAUUGAGAGUGGUACCAGUGGUCUCCUGAAGGAUGACAUUGACUGGGAGCGGUACCAGUGGUCUCCUGCAGGAUGACAUUGAUUGGGAGCAGUACCAGUGGUCUCCUGCAGAAUGACAUUGAUUGGGAGCAGUACCAGUGGUCUCCUGCAGAAUGACAUUGACUGGGAGCAGUACCAGUGUCUCCUGCAGGAUGACAUUGAUUAGGAGCGGUACCAGUGGUCUACUGAAGGAUGACAUUGACUGGGAGCGGUACCAGUGGUCUCCUGAAGGAUGACAUUGACUGGGAGCGGUACCAGUGGUCUCCUGCAGGAUGACAUUGACUGGGAGCGGUACCAGUGGUCUCCUGCAGGAUGACAUUGACUGGGAGCGGUAGCAGUGGUCUCCUGCAGGAUGACAUUGAUUAGGAGCGGUACCAGUGGUCUCCUGCAGGAUGACAUUGAUUAGGAGCGGUACCAGUGGUCUCCUGCAGGAUGACAUUGAUUAGGAGCGGUACCAGUGGUCUCCUGCAGGAUGACAUUGAUUAGGAGCAGUACCAGUGGUCUCCUGCAGGAUGACAUUGAUUAGGAGCAGUACCAGUGGUCUCCUGCAGGAUGACAUUGACUGGAAGCAGUACCAGUGGUCUCCUGCAGGAUGACAUUGAUUAGGAGCAGUAGCAGUGUUCUCUUGCAGGAUGACAUUGACUGGGAGCAGUACCAGUGGUCUCCUGCAGGAUGACAUUGAUUGGGAGCAGUACCAGUGGUCUCCUGCAGGAUGACAUUGAUUAGGAGCAGUACCAGUGGUCUCCUGCAGGAUGACAUUGAUUAGGAGCAGUACCAGUGGUCUCCUGCAGGAUGACAUUGACUGGAAGCAGUAGCAGUGGUCUCCUGCAGGAUGACAUUGAUUAGGAGCAGUAGCAGUGUUCUCUUGCAGGAUGACAUUGACUGGGAGCGGUACCAGUGGUCUCCUGCAGGAUGACAUUGAUUGGGAGCAGUACCAGUGGUCUCCUGCAGGAUGACAUUGACUGGGAGCAGUAGCAGUUGUCUCUUGCAGGAUGACAUUGAUUGGGAGCAGUAGCAGUGAUCUCCUGCAGGAUGACAUUGACUGGGAGCAGUAGCAGUGGUCUCCUGCAGGAUGACAUUGAUUAGGAGCAGUACCAGUGGUCUCCUGCAGGAUGACAUUGACUGGACGGCACCAGUGGUCUCCUUGCUUGGGGUUGCCAGUCUUAAGGGGAAGGCAUUCAGUUUUCACCCUUAAAUAUGAGAGCUAUGGGCUUCACGUAGACACUUCCAAGCAGGCUGAAGAAGGACACUUCUAUUUCUAGUUUUCUAAGAGCUUAUUAUUAUUUUUGAUAUUAGUAUUGGCCAUCAGUGUGUUACUCCUUUUUCUCAUCCCUUUAUAUAUUGCUGGAUUAAAUUUGCUAACAUUUGGCUACACUGAAACUAGGGACACAGCCUGUAGUUUUUUCUUGUGAUGAUGUUUCUGGGUUUAAUUUCAGGGUAUAACUGGUUUCACAAAAUCGAGUUAGGAAAUGGUCCUUUUCUUUUAUCGACGUUCUUAAAGGUUUGAUAGAAUUUACCAAAAUCCUGCGGGUCUGGGAGUUUGUAGAAAGGCUUUGUAGGAAUGCUUUGUUUUUUAAAUUUGUUGUUGUUCUCCUGUUUUUGUGCUUAGAUUUAUGAAAAGCUUUAAAUUAUUAACUCAAUUUUCUUUAUUUUUUGCAUCUCUUCACAUUUUGUUUCUUCCUAAGUUGGUAAUUUGUGUGUUUCACAGAGAUCAUCAUUUUCACCUGAACUGUUGAAUCACUGUGAUAAGGUAGUUCAUACUGGUCCCCUAUUAUCUAUUUUAUAUCUGUAAUAUUUAUCAUGAAAUUUCCUCUUUUAUUUCUGAUAUAGGCAAUUCGUGUUUUCUCCUUUUUCUAACUAAAAUUAAUAAAUUUUACUGAUCUUUCAAAAAAACUACUGAUUUUUCUUUAUUGUCUAUUUUUGUUUUUAACUCUUUAUUUUCUUCUACUUUCUUCAGUUUGAUUCAUACAUCUUGCACACCCAAAGCCAAGUUAUUUUCUGGUUGCAUCAUAGUAUAAUACAUACUGUAAGACAUCUUCCUUGUAAAACAUUCGGAUAAAAGCACUAGGAGACAGUGAAUUUCACCUAGAUAUGCACCACCUGUGACAGUGAACAUCAGCAUUUGGGAGAGAUUCAAACCUGUAUCAUCUUAGGCAGGUGAAAGUAUUUCAUGCAACUUUAUAGUAUCUCUUCUACCACCCUGUUCAUUUUGCAUCUCAGUAUCCCUCUGAAAUUCCCUCUCAGCCCCACAGCAAAGUUAUGAAAACUAUGGUAUGUAAACGUUCAUCUGUUUCUCCAUGCACACUUAAUAUGCUGGUGUAUUUUUUAGUUCAUUCUUUUAUAUAAAUACAUUCAUAGUAUAUACAUUUCACUAUAUCUUAUUUUUUCUUAUGCUUGCAUAAAUUCCUUUUUUUGUUUUUUAAAUGAAGUCUCUGUCACCCAGGCUGGAGUCCAGUGGAGCGAUCUCUGCCCACUGUAACCUCUGCCUCCAGGGUUUAAGUGAUUCUCCUGCCUCAGCCUCCUGAGUAGCUGGGAUUACAGGCCUACACCACCAUGCCCAGGUAACUUUUUUAUUUUUAGUAGAGACGCGGUUUCACCACGUUGGCCAGGCUGGUUUUGAACUCCUGACCUCAAGUCAUCAGCCCGCCUUGGCCUCCCAAAGUGCUACGAUUACGGUUGUGAGCCACCGUGCCUGGCACAUACAUUUCUUAUGAUAAAUGUGGAAUUAAAAAAAAGACACAGAAAUCUCUCCCAGUCUGUCGGCCCAAUUGUAUCUCAUUCUGUGUGGUAGAUGCCAUGGCAUUGUACCAGAAUUUGCCAUCCCAGACCCGUUUUUAUUUUGCUUUGAUUCUUUUUGGACCCUUAAAACUAGGCUUACAAGAUCCUCAUGUUUGUAUACAUUGAGUACUUACAUAAGGUGCUUUUUGCUGUUUGGGACAGGAAAAGUUAGAAAAAUAGAUGGAUAUAUGCUUUUCUGUAUGUUGCUAGAUUUAGUGAAGAAAAUUGUAACAAGUCAUGCUUCUCACACUUUCAGCAUGAAUGAGCGACCCCUUCUUUCCCAGUGUUGAUGUGAUACUCCCUUUCCCCCAAUCCUUGCUAUCUGAGAACUUUGCCAUUCUUGAUUUUAGCAAUUUGGACAGUGUCUUUCCAUUUCCUGUUAUGAUUGAUGGGAAUUUGAUGACUUUAUAUCACUAGCCCUUCCCUUUCGAUAUAGUUAUAUGACUAUUUGCAUUUUCAUCAAUAAACAGUAUGUGGCUUGUGGAACCCGUUGCUCCAGGAGAGGCAGUUGUGGGAAGAAGAAAAGGCUCUGGUGAGUCCUGCUGUCUUCUUGCCACUUCCAGCCAAGUACUGGGGGAGAAGGGGCCCAGGAGAGGACCGGAGGGUGUGCAGGCAGAUGGAUGAGAUGGCAGGUGCUCUGGGUCCCUGAUCCAGACAUUUGAGGCCUCCCAGACUUGGACAAGAAAGUGAUUUGCUUGUCUUUUAAAAAUCGAUUUUUCAACUUUAAAAAUACAUAAUGUGGUUUUUAAAAUUUUGUUGGUUUUGUGGAUUACAAAAAUCUCCCAGGAUGUGACUUAUUGAUUUAUAUAUGCUUUUGCCACACUUAAACUUUUUACCUGUAAGGAGAGUGUUUGUGGAGGGUUUCACAGCCUUUACCCUCUAUUUAGCCACAUGGAAUUUGUAGAACUUUAUAAAUUUAUGGCUUGCCUUGAUGAUGUCUUUCAUUAGUUUUGGAAAAUAUUACCAAUUAUCUCUUUAAACCAUGAUUUGUCUGUACUCCGGCUUUGGUUUCUUUCUGGAGCUGCUGUUCUGUGCAUGUUGGAUUUUCCCCUGAGUCCUGCAGGCCUGUCGUGCUGUCUUCUGCAGUCCCUGCCCUUUUCCUCUCUGUUUUAGUUGUGAUAUUUUCCAUUGACCUGGACUCUGGUUCAUGGUCCUUUCUUCUGCUGGGUAGCAUCUGCUGUGAAACCCAUCUGUUGAGUUCUUCAUUUCAAUUAUUGUAUUUUCCACUUCUAAAAUUCCCAUUUGGUUCUUUUUAAUAGAUAUCAAUUCUCUGGUGAGAUUUUGCAUUUUUCCUUCUUGUUCCCAUCAUUUCCUCGAACAUAUUCAUAACCUGUUUUAAAUUCCUUACCUGAUGAUUUUAGUAUAUGCAUCCAAGGUGGGUGUUUUUCUGCUGACUUGUUUCCCCUGACUUUGGAUCACUGAGUUCCAUCACUGUAAUGUGCAUGGCAUUCCUGUGCCCGCCCUGAAUUCUAGACCUUGUGUAUGAACAGUUGUGAGACCUAUGGGUGCCAUCUUCUCCCAGAGAGGGUUCAUGCUUUCUGUGCGAGGCAGAUCAAGGAGGUCCAAGCUGCCUUCAAGUCUAAGCUGACUUGAGGCUGGGCUGUCAGUGGGCUCCGUGGGCCCCUCCUCUCUGGGGGUCUUACCCAAAGGCCUGUGGGGAUCACAAGGCCCCUCUCCUCAGCAGUUGCUAAUCUCCAAGCCUUGAUUUUUCUGGAACUUGGUGCACUUUCACUACUGUGGCCUGGGGCUUUCUUCUUGGCUUGGUGCCUUUUCACCCCUUACAACCUCAUAAGCCAGCAGAUGUGUGGAGGGAAAAUGCUGACACCAUUUUCAUGGAUAAGCCAGGACUGGUUUAUCUCUCCCCUUCCCAGUGGGAUCCUGGUCCCUCAAGUCUCUCAUUUUAGUUUUCCAUCCACAUGAGCCCGCCGAAACCUUGAUGGGGUCUCUGACUCUCAGUAGUGGCCUCAGGCCUGGCUCUUUGUGCAGACUGAGCCUCGCUCUAUAUCAGACUCAAUAGAUGGCUUGAUGGGAGGAGCUGCAGGAUGUGGCCCCCUCUCCCGGAGUUUACCCUUCUCCUGGUUUUGUCUUCUCAAGUCCUUGUGGCCACCAUGGUGCUCCAGUGCUUUCAAACAGAUUUUGGGGGUGUUUUCCCAGAUUUUCUAUUUAAUCUUGGCAGGAGCACUGGCUCAUCACCAACAACCUCCCACAUCAGCAACUUGAGCUUUUUCCAAAUAAAAAAAGUUGAAAACAUAAAUAAUAAAUAACUGCCUUCCUGGGAGCUGCAACGGAAAAGCAACCCUGUGGCGGUUUGAAGAAUUAAGCAGGCACCUAGAAGGGAGCUGACAUUUCAUCAUGCCCUGCUGGGAGUUUUUGAUUACCCCUUUUAUUUUUUGAAAAACAACAAAAAAAUCAGGUUAAGAAAGUUCCUUUCUAUUUUCUACAUUGUUUAAACACAUGAAUGAUUGUUAAUUUUAUAAAAGGAUUUUUCUGAAUCAACUGAGGAGAGCAAUAUCUUUUCUGCUUUAAUCUGUUGGGGUAACUUAGUAGUUACCUUGCAGAUAUUCCGGUGUUGAACCAUUUUACACUGUUAGGUGAAAUCCCGCUUUGCCAUGACAAAUGAUCGGUAAAAUGGCUCAUGUGGUAAUAUUUGAGUUGGGAUCCUUGCAUGUGUGAGCAAAAGCAGGAAUGGUGAAGGACUUUUUCCUGCAUUGUCCCUGGCUGGUUCUGGUGUUAACAUGUUGGCUGUGUUGGAUGGGUCAGACCUUCCUCUGGCCCUGCUCAUCUGUGAGCCCAGACUACCCGCUCCCUUGGGGAUGCUGUGUCACGGCUGUUGUGCUGCUUUCAAACCCCAUUAUUCUCAGCUUUGCUUUUGCUUUUUUUUUUUUUUUUUUCCCCGAGAUGGAGUUUUGCUGUGUCACCCACGCUGGAGUGCAGUGGUGUGAUCUCAGCUCACUGCAACCUCUGCCUCCUGAGUUCAAGCAAUGCUCCUGCCUCAGCCUCCUGAGUAGCUGGGAUUAUAGGCGUGCACCACCACACCCAGCUAAUUUUUGUAUUUGUAGUAGAGAUGGGGUUUCACUAUGUUGUCCAGGCUGAUCUCAAACUCCCAACCUCAAGUGACGUGCAUGCCUCAGCCUCCCAAAGUGCUGGGAAUACAGGUGUGAGCCACCAUACCGGCCAGCUUUCCAUUUUUGUAUCACCUUUGGUUUGUAGAGUUAUUUAGCUGAUUUUGAGCUUGAUCAUUUUUUUUUUUGGUGGGGGGGUGGGUGUGCUUGGUAGAUUUUAUCUGUCAUAGUAAAAUGUUUGGGCCUGAGAGGGAACCUCAAAACUGACUCUAUAAUGACAUCUUGGCAAGAAGCCCACAAGAGGACAUUUAUUUAUUUUUGAAUGUUUUAAGCGUUUUUAUUUAGAAAAGGCUCAAGCACAGGGUGAAGGCUGAAGAAUGCUGUGAGGAGCAUGCAGGUACAGAAAAUCAUUUGUGAGCAUUCUUGCCACAUUGACCUAUGUGUGUACAACUUCUCUGCUGGACUGAGAAAAGCACAUUUUGGAUUUUGUCACUUUGCUCUUUAGCACGUGUCAUCAUCCAUGUUUACUUCCGUGGUUUGUUUGUUUCUUUUUUUUUGAGAUGGGGUCUCCCUCUCUUGCCCAGGUGGGGCACAGUGGCGCAAUCUCAGCUCACGGCAACCUCCACCUCCCAGGUUCAAGCUAUUCUCCUGCCUCAGCCUCCCAAGUAGCUGGGACUACAGGUAUGUGCCACCACACAUGGCUAAUUUUCGUAUUUUUAGUAGAGACAGGGUUUCACCAUGUUGGUCAGGCUGGUCUUGAACUCUGGCCUUCUGAUCCUCCCACCUCAGCUUCCCAAAGUGCUGGGAUUACAGGCAUGAGCCACUGUGACCGGCCCACUUCUGUGGUUUCUAACUGCACAAAGGAUGGCGGUGGCAGCACAGGAGACUUUCCAGUGAUGGUGGGCAGGGAGCAGUCACUCCUGUGGUUUUCUGCUCCUGUGUCUGUUUGUGGGGUGACAGCUUCGUGCCACAUUUCUCAGUCUCCUCCCAAGAGGCCUUGCGUGCAUUUUUUUUUGUUACUCUGCUGGUAACAGCUGAAUUUAAAAUGGUUAAAAAGCUGUAGUAAUGAGUUUUCUCAGGUCUAUAACUGAUUCCAGGAGACCCUUUCAGGCUCAUUUGUGAAACGUGUGAGACGUAGACUAAGUCUAACACAAAAUUCACAAACAUUUGCUUGGGUAAAAGUGGCACCAUACUGAGAAAGAAAAUAUUACCUCAGUGCCAACAAAUUAAAAAUAAUUUUAUAUCCAAAUUGUUGGCUAAGGUAUUCCCAAAUUUCUCACGUCUAAGUUUUUAAAGUUGUUUAUAAAAAGAAAACUUUUAAUUUUUUGCUUCAGAUUACACACCGUUUGCUUCACUCAUUUGAAUUUGAUGAUGUGUUUUCAAGAGUGAUUGAAUGAAGCCUGUACUUACAUUGUGUGUGUUUUCUGGCGUACCGUGUCAUGAACGGACCACCUUGUUAGUAUUGAGUGCACACGCACCCAUAUCGCCUGGUGUGACCUCCGGCCGGGCAGUGCAUGUCUGGAGGCCCGAGUAGGAGGUGGGCGAACCAGUUCCCUGAUUCUGGCCUACCACCAAGACUUGAUCAGACAGAGUCAGAACAAAUACUUACUAAAUUAAAUCAAAUAAGUGGAUUCUGGCAGUUGGGUUGGUUGGAGUGUUGACUGCGUAAGGAGCGAUGGAAAUGCAGAUGGGGGUCUCUCCCUUCUGUUCACUUUUCUCCAAGUGUGGAGUGGUUGAUGGCCUUCCCGCUACCUUUGUCACUCCUCCUUAGACUCCAGGGCUAUUCACAUGACCUCACACACGUGACUGCAGCUCCACUUGCUGAAGGCGUGGUGUGCAUUUUCCUGGUCUGGACUUUGGAUUCAGAUCGCACUGAUGUAUGGAAUGGGGCCAGUGCACUGGUACAGGAUCCUAAGCCCAGAACUCAGAGGCCUUUUUUCCCCUACCCUCUUCCACUUCUUCCCUUGAGCUGGGAACUGGCCCAGGACAGCCCCAUCCCCUUGAGCUGAGAACUGGCCCAGGACAGCCCACUCUUCCCAGGAAGGAACUGGAGGAGCAGCGGCGAGCUGCUGUAGCUGCACCCAGCUAGGCCUGCUGACCCCCAGCUGCCCUUCAGGUGUGUGAGCCGUGGAGACGCCCUCCGUGUGCUGCUGCUGAGGUUCUGUGGUUGCUUGGGUCUGUGCGUGUAGGUAAGUGUUAGCGUUACCGAGGACGCCUUGAGUCAGCGGGGCACCGUCUUGGUUUUAAUGUGAUAUAAAGUGUGUUAAGUGAACACGCAACAGGGUGAUAUAACGUGUGUUAAGUGAACACACGACAGGCUUUCUCCUUCCUCUUAAUAGUCUUCCUCAUGAAAAUAAUCCAAGAACUGUAAAUAUGAAAAGCUUGACCUCAGACUCGAGGCCUUUACAGAAGACGAACGGGCCUGUGGUUUCAAGUCUGCCCGAGCGGGGCUGGAACCCGGCCUGGGGCUCCCUGAACAGUGCUCCAUCCUUGACCUGCAGACCGUCUUGUAUGAUGAGAAAAGGUGCUAGGGCCACCGGGUUGUGGGCCGCACGUGCAGAGACUGGCUGAAAACGCAGCCUCCCUUGCUGGGCCCCUCCGUCCGUGUCUGGAAUAGUCCUUAGAUCGCGCCUGGCCACGGGCUGCUUCCUGGGGCCCCGGGUGUGGCCCUGCGUGGACGCCCCAGUUCCCGGGCACGAGGUGUCGCUCUUGUGCUGACUGCGGAGAUAACGUUCUUGCUCAGAUUUUCAUGCCGUUAAUGGUUUGCCUCUUUAGCACAGAGUGAACUCAUCAGGCAGCCUCUGCGGGGACAUAAAUCAUAGCAUUUCUGAGGAACCUCAGCUGAAAUAAAUCAAGGAAUUUUUUUUUUAAUCAGCUCUUCAAUCACUCUUUUUAGUCACGUGGAAAAAUGGUCCGUGCUGUAUUUACAGUCUGAUGGGAAGGAGAUGUUUAACAUCCGUGUAGCAGAUUAAACAUGACAAGUUAUAUGGUGAAGAGUGUGAAAAGGUGUUUACGCCGACACGCAAUAUCUAGGCUGAUCUACAGCUCAGUAAUAGACGCCAUAAAUCUCCUGCAGGCCCGGGAGGCUGCGCGCGGGAGGAGCAACAUGGCGGGUCAGCGGCAUUCCCGCCUGCGCAGGCGCUGCCCAGUUCCAGCCAAUCCUCGCCUCGCGCGCUCAGGAGUGGGCGGAGUGUGGCCUCCCCGCGGCCGCAGGCAGCCUUUCACACGUGCGUGCGCACACCCCUGACGCAGGUUCGCCAGCUCGGCCCCGCCUUUCAAUGAAUUUUCUAACUCAUUGCCUUCCUGAUACUGUGAGUGAAAAAUAAACCCGAGAAAAUAAUGUUUUAUUCCAUCGCUAGUCCCAAACACAUUCUAGUUUUUUCAAUCAAACAAAAAACUUUUUAAAAAAGUGUAUUUAUUUACUUAACCUACUUUUUUUUUGUAGCCAUGGCUUUUUACAUUAUUAUUAUUAUUGAGUUGAAGUCUUGCUCUGUUUCCCAGGCUGGAGUGCAGUGGCCCCAUCUCCACUCACUGCAGCCUCCACCUCCUGGGUUCAAGCCAUUCUCCUGCCUCAGCCUCCCUAGUAGCUGGGACUAUAGGUGCCCGUCACCACACCUGGCUAGUCUCUGUAUGUUUUAGUAGAGUCAGGAUUUCACAGUGUUGGCCAGGCUUGUCUCAAACUCAUGACCUCAGGUGAUCCGCCCUCCUCGGCCUCUCAAAGUACUGGGAUUACAGGCGUGUGCUACCUUGCCUGGCCGUAUAGUAUUUUUAAUUGACAAAUAAUUGUGUAUACUUUUGGGGUAAAAUGUGAUGUUUUGAUCUAGGUAAUACAUUGUAGAUUCAAUCUAGCUAAUUAAUGUACCCAUCACCUCACCAACUUACUGUUUUUGUGUAAGAAUGUCAAAAUCUAUACUUUUAGCAAUUUUGAAAUAUACGUUAUUAUUAACUGUGGUCACCAUACAGCCAUUAGAUCACGAGAACUUCUUCCUCCACACUAGCAGAGACCUUUGAUCUACAUCGUCCUCUCCCUACCCUCAUGGCCCCUGCUAAAUCACCUUUCUGCUGCAUAUGUCUAUAAGACUGACUUUUUAAAUUUCACUGUAAGUGAGAUCACACCAUAUUUCUUUCUGCGCCUGAAUACUCCACUUAGCAUAAUGUCCUCCUGAUUGUGCAAAUGACAGGAUAUCAUUUUUUAUUUUCUUAAAGCUGAAUAAUAUCCCAUUGCAUAUAUAUACACCAUGAUUUCUUAUCCAUUCAUCCCUCAAUGGAUACUUAGGUUGAUUCCAGAUCUGGGCUACUGUGAAUACAUGGGAGUGCAGGUAUCCCUUCUGUGUACGGAUUUCAUUUCCUUUGAGUCUAUACCCAGCUGUGAGAUUGCUGGAUUGUAUGGUGGGGCCAUUUUUCACUUUUGAGGAACCUCCGUGCUGUCUUCCAAUAUGGCUGCAUGCUCACUAACACUGGUCAUUUGUGUUUUUCCUCAUAAACUCCUAACAGGCGCGUGGCGAUAUCUCAUCGUGGUCUUUUUGUGCAUCUCCUGCUGACUUGAGAUGUUGGGCAUCCUUCGUGGCCCUGUUGGCCAUGUGCAUCUUGUCUUUGAAGACGUGUCUGUUUGGACCCUUUGCCCAUUUUGUAAUUGGGUUCUUUGUUUUCUUGCUGCAGAAGAACUUCAGUUCCUUCUGUGUUUGGAUGGUAGCCCGUUGUCAGAUGGGUGGUUCGCAGACAUUUUCUAACCUGUUGUUUCCCUCCUCACUCUGUUGACUGCCUCCUUUGCAGCUCACAUUCCAGUUCUUGCAAAAGAAUUGUAGAUGGCAGAUGUUUUGGAUUUUAUUUAAAAAAUGAGAGACAUUUAUGAUAUAAAACAUUUGAUGUAAAAACUUGAUAGAUACCAGGAUUAUUGAAGUGAUAUGUAAAGUAGAAAUAAGUUUACUGUAAGUGAAACCUAAAGGGCUCUCUUACAAGCUUUCACGCCUUAGCCUUCUAGGGCCAUCUUUCCCCAUUUCUUUUCUCAACAACAAAAAAAGAAAUGCUAUAAACACAAUCGAUAUUUACUUUCACUUGCACAUGUGCAAGCGUGCGUGUAUGCACACACACACUCACACACUCUCUCUCUCUCUCUCUCUCUCUCUCUCCAGCAUGUUUCUUGGGUCUCACUCUGUUUCAGGCCGAUGUUUUCUGAAUUGGAAUGUAGAGUGGUUGGUACCAGCCUAUUUACACUCUCUUGGCUGCCAUGACUUGAUGCCAAUAGGAAGGAGUUGUGAGAGAAUGACCCAGGUUAGUAGUGGGUUCGGGGUAGCAAUACUUUUCAGAAUUUUUGUUUGUAUUCAGUAAGUAUUUACUGAAUGCCUAUCAUAGACACAGCCAAAUAGUAGCCACUGUGAAGAAUGUAAGUCGUACAAACCAUGGCUGUCAUUCCAAGGAGAUUUCAAUUCAUUUAGAAAGGCCAUAGUGCUAAUCAAAUCGUGUUGUAACCAACCAAGCCGGCUUAACCCCAUCCACAAGAUAAAGGGAUGACCAUAGAAGAAGAAUGACUAUGAAAAGAGGAUUUGUUUUCUAAUAGCAUAUUAUAAUGUUUUUAAACUCAACUUCAUAGUAGCAUACAAUGCAAGGAUUUCUGGAGCAGGAUGAUUUCCAUAGCAUAUCACUUCUAUCCUUUCCCAACUCUCCUCCCCCUGAACAUUCCAUUUAGCAUGGCAGGAGUUGGUGAUGCCAGCGUGGCCCAGGGGCUGGUGUUCGGCAUCCUGCUCUCUGGCUGGCCUUAAUGCCGGGGCUCCGCCAACUGUUUCCUGGCCUGCGCCGCCACUUUGGGAAGAAGCUUCCUGUGCUUCUGACUUCCUGCUUUGUGCGGCUACCGUGUGAGACCUGGGGUCUCAGGGUCCUGUUCCCACAGGCUCAGUGAGCAGAAGGGGUUUCUCAGUCUGCCCAUGACUGCCCCCAGCUCUGUCUCCAUCCCUCUCCUCCUGGUGUCUUCUCAGGUCUGGAGUUGCAGGCUGGUCCUCAUGCCUUAUCUUGUCUCAUGUAUGCUCUUAGCUCCAUUUACCUUGGGUUGUGAUAUUACGUCUUAAUUUCCUGCAUGGUAUUUAAUAGUGAAACAUUAGAGGAAAGCCUGUUAAACACAAAACAUGAAUGCCUACGAUUCCCAUUGUCAUUACUAUUCUGAAAAAUUCAAGCAAUUACAAGAACAAUAUCGUAACUAGAAUAAAACUUCAGAGGAAAAAAGGAUUCAGUAUUUUAAAUGUUAGGACUUAAAAUUAAAAGGAAUCAAGUUAGAAGCAAUUGAAUUUGUAAUAAUGACACAAAUGUCAUGGUUAUUACUAUAUUUGGGAACAACUUGUGGGUAAUAUGACAAAAAAUAAAUCCUGUUGUGAUAAAUCUGUGUGUGAUGUGUAGGAUCCUGUUAUGAUAAAUCUAUGUGUGAUGUGUAGGAAUGCCAUUAGUGACAUCUAUCAUUUUUACACCAUUUACUGCACUUUCAGGGGCCCUGCCACCUGUCCGUUGCCCUGGAAGGGGUGGCCUCAGGUGUUAUAUGAUGCAGACAGCACGCUGCUGCCUCGCCAAUCUUCUGCACCUCCCUCGUGUCCCAAACUGGUGGGUCCUGGAGGAAAGUGGCUGACCCACACCUGCCACCAGUUCUCUCUCUGAUGAAUCUGAAUUGAGAGACACAGAGACUAUAUGGGAUAGUUCAGUGGUGGUGGGGAGGGAGGCACAGAGGUGAAAAUUCAUGCAGAGUUGGGGAGAAAUGGACCACAAUAAAUCAAAGCCCCGUACCAGCUAAAAUCACAGAGAAGCAGAGACCUUGGGCAAGACGAGAAGUUGGUCUGAAGAGAGACGCUCAGGACCAGAGCAGAUUCAUGGAGCAUAGCAGUGACUGAGAUGGUGUGUGUGUGUUGCUGGGUGGUGGUGGGGUGAGGGGAGUGGCGGGGGGGGGUAGAGAGACAGAGAGAGUCAGAAGGGGAGGGGAGACAGAGACAGAGGGAGAGAGUGGGAAGAAGAGCUUUGGCCCUGGCUGUCUUGUUCCAGCCCCUGGGGUGCUUGUCUAUAUUGCGUAUUCUGUCUUGGAAUUCCUUGAGUUCUAGGACCUAUAAUCUUACAACAAAAUCUCUUUUGCUUGUUAGUUUGAGUGGUAUUUCUGUGUAUCGAAGCCAAAGAUUUUCCUGCCUAAAAUAAUAUUAAGAAGGAAAGCAUAGAACUAUUAGAGGAAAGCAAUCAUUUAUUUUAUGGAAAGACAGGAACAGAAUAAAUGGAGGAGCAUUCCAUGUUGAUGCAGUGGGACAUGAAUAGUGUGGGGAUGCCCGUUUUCCUAAAAUUAAUUGCUGGGGCUCAAAUAAUCGAUGAAAAUGGGAUUAAUCUUCCUUUUCUUCAUGUUCUUUUGAGAUUGCUGGAAUUAUUUUAAAGUUCAUCUGAUAGAAUGAACCUAAUAAGAAGUAAUACUAAUAAUAACAGGGAACAUUUACUUAGCGAUUACUGGUACUAGAGCCUUUCAACUAAUUUCCAUGUAUUCAGAAGAGAAUGGCCACAAAUAAACAUGACAUUUUGUAAAAGGAAGAGUGGUGAGGGACACAAAUGUACGAAAUGUUAAAACCUGCUCUAACGGUGGCCAUCAAACAUUCGUGGUAUCUGCUCUGGAGAAUAAGUUGAAAAUCAGAGAGCCUCACAAGCGCUCGUUCUGAAUUUAUUUAUCUUUGUAUUAUGUGUAGGAAUAUGUCAUAUAUUCUGUAUGUUGCACUUGGCUACUAAUUUUAAAUAUUGUCUUACAAGGUCAACUUAUAUGCUCACUUUAUUCUCCCAAAUGAAUUACAUUUAGAUGAGGUAAACAUGUAAAAAAAUCAGGCCACAGAAAACUGGAAAAGACUCUCAUGGUCUCCCCCAGAUCUUCUGUGAGCAAACAGUGCAUUUCACUUCCCUCAAGCUGUUUUUCAUUAAUUCUGAUUCCCAGACUUUUCUCCAUUCUGACUACACCAUAAAGGGACUUUACCCCUCGAUGAAUGAUUUUAGCGGCCAUCAAACUGUUUUAAACAGGCAGAUGUCUCCGGAUUAUCACCUAUGUGCAAAAUAGAAAGUGACUUGGAGGUGGAAAGACCAGCCAGAAAACUGCUGCAGGCCAGGAAAGCGAGUGGUGGCUUGGGUUAAACACAGAAAUAUGUAAGAGUUUGUGAUGGAUGGGAUGUGAGGUUCCCGAAAGGGCGGACCCGGGCAGCUGGGAGAAGUGGUGCAAUUCACCAAAAGAGGAAAAGUGCAGGAGCAGGCCGGGCAGAGAAGCUCGUGCGUUCAUUCUUAGACAGGUUGAGUUUGCAGUGCUCUGAAAUACCCAGUGGAGACAGGUAGUAGACAGCUUGGCAUGCGUGUUUGAGUUUCAGGAGACCAGUCUUGAAGGAAAAUCUAGAUUUCGGAGUUAUUGGCAUAUAGAUAAUAACAAAAGCUCUGGAGAUGGAGUGGCAGUGGUUGAGGUGAGUAGUAGAGAACCCACGGAGCUGGGCCCCUGAACAGACACCCUCUGGGACCUUAGCCCUGGAAGGUAAGAGCUGCCAUGGAGCAUACAGUGGCAAAGACAGGGCCUUUUCACGGUCCCAGUGGCAGGAACUCCCAUUUGUCAAGGUGAAUUCGGUGCUGAUGUUCAAACAGCCAGCAACAAACUCACAGGUGAGCCCUUGAUGUGACUCGGUUCCUCAAGGAGGUCAUCUGACCACCUGGGGACAAACUGACUCUGCUGCACCCCUUCUGUCUGGGAGGAAUGGCGGCUUGGCCUCAGGGUAGCAGUCACCCACCUGGGGCGCUGGUUUGCUGUUCCUGUUCCAAUGCUUCAGGCAGGACCACUGUCUGAGCAGCAGGUGCACAGGCAGGGACUGUCUUGACCUCAGGGAAUCACAGUGAGAGAGGGUGUAUCAGUUUGUUCUCACGCUGCUAAUAAAGACAUACACGAGACUGGGUAAUUUAUAAAGGAAGAGGUUUAAUGGACUUACAGUCCACAUGGCUGGGGAGGCCUCACAAUCAUGGCAGAAGGCAAAGGAAGAGCAAAGGCACGUCUCACAUGGCGGCAGGCAAGAGAGCGUGUGCAGGGGAACUGUCCAUGAUGAAACCAUCAGAUCUCGUGAGACUUACUAUCAUGAGAACAGCAUGGGAAAGACCCACCCCCAUGGUUCAUACCUCCCACUGGGUCCCUCCCAUGAUACAUGGGCAUUCUGGGAGCUACAAUUCAAGAUGAGAUUUGGGUGGGGACACAACCAGACCAUAUCAGAGGAGCAGAAGGGCGGCUGCCACCAGACCCACUGGAAGCAUCAUGUACCUGUCCACGUGCUUCAGGCCUGAGAGAGCGGAGGUGUGUGGGCUGAAACCCCAGCUCUAGGGCAGUGCUCUGCCAGGCUGGAGUCUAGGCCUAGAAUCUGAGCUCUUUCCAUGGCACUGUGUUCCCGAGGAAGCCCAGGAACCAGAGGUGGAGGCAGGAGUAGCCCCACUUUUCAUCCCUUCGGGUGAGCCACUGGGAGACUUGGUGCUUCCUCUUCUUGCCACUGGGGGCUCUUCAAGGCUAGUUUAGUCCCCUAAGAGUGAGAACUUUUGCUGGUGGUCAUAGAUGGGGUGCUACUGGAUGAUAGGCCAACAGCUCCCUCUGCACCAUUUUUGCAUGGGAGCCCCCGCUUGGGCUGGCGGAGACUCUUGAGCUGUGCUGCAGCCCCGGGACCUAGUGCCCCAAGCCUCCUUCCUCAUCCCGCCGCAGGUUAGGUCUGCAGUUCGGCCGUGAACUCUCCGCUCCUGCUCCUGCUCCCUCUGUCUCACUCACAGGAACUUCCCUGAUCUAGCUCACACACUUCAAAUUCUGGUUUUGAGUCAGUGUCACCAAGGCUGCCAGCUGACCCAGAUGGGUAGGUUGACAUUGGGAGAUAGUCUUGACAUCCUGAAAUGGAGGAAUUGCUUUGAUUAAUAGGAAGAUACUAUUCUUCCACCAAGCAAGUUUGAGGAACGUUUUCUCUGGGGAAGAUUUUCAGUGCUCCAUUCGGAAUAUUAUUUGAAAAGAUACAGGAAACAUAAACCCUUCAAAAACCCACAGUUGAGGGAAUUUCGCUGAAGCAGAAAACAGGCUAAGGCCUGAGGAGGGGCUUACCGAGGCUGAAGUAGGUCAGGAACCGACUCCAGGCUGUGUGGGUGGGAACUGCACCAGUGGGGCCGGUCUAUUCAUCAGAUGCAAAAUCAGACCAAAAGAUUGAGCAGCAGAAGGAAUCGGCAUCCUUGAGCCCAAAAUACUUCCAUCAAAACCUUGCCUCUACUUUUGGGUUUCUUCUCCAGUAAUUUACACGUUUUCAUCUGGCUUUUGCCUUUGUCUGGAUUGUUGAGUUUUAAUUUUGUGGAUAAGGCCAGAAUGCUUCCUUCAGAAAGGGCUUUGCUCCAGGGAUGUGGGACAGAGCGAUGUCCUGCAGGUGGGUUAGUCUGAAGAAUGUCCUGGAAGACUCCUGAAGAUUCACCGAGCCUCUCAUGGGAGCCCUUGGAAUUCCAGUAUCAGGCACAUGUUAUGUUUUCCACAUUUCCUGUUGAAAUGCAAAAAGAUAUUUCAUUCCUCUGUAUCUCAGAGAAAUGGCACUAACACCUCAAGAGGACUCAGGAGGCAGGAGACUGUUGAUAUCAGGUCGUGAAGGAGAAAGAUACAAAGCCCACAUUUACCAACCUCACACCUCCCUGCUUCACCUGAAGCUUCAAUCUACUUCUUUUUCUUUCUUUCUUUUUGAGAUGGAGUUUCACUCUUGUUGCCCAGACUGGAGUGCAAUGGCACAAUCUCAGCUCACUGCAACCUCUGCCUCCUGGGUUCAAGUGAUUCUCCCAACUAGCUGGGACUCAGGCAUGCAUCACCACACCUGGCUAAUUUUGUAUUUUUGGUAGAGAUGGGGUUUCUUCAUGUUGGUCAGGCUGGUCCCAAACUCCCAACCUCAGGUGAUCUGCCCACUUUGGCCCCUUAAAAGUGUUGAGAUUACAGGCAUGAGCCACCGUGCCUGGCCAUGUCAAGCUACUUCUGAACAGUGAGGAUUUCGACCCAGGAGCUCUCAUAGUGAGGUUUUUGACUGACUGAACUCUGCCUUUCCUUUGGGAAGUUAGAAGGCCUUGCUUGAGGAACACAAUUGUCUUUAUGAAAUGGAAUGUGAUGAUGCAUUAUCCCCAUUUUAUAGUUGAGAAAGUUGUCAACAAGUCGAGUGACUUUUGGGAGUCUUGGAUUCAACCCAAUGCUCUGUCUCCACUGGGUGAAGCUGUCUUGUCUCAUGUUCAAAUCUAGUGCGUCAGAAGAAAACACACUUAAAAGAAGAAAGCACGGAGGCAGAGGAAACAUCGGAAGGUGUUCUGGAAUAGAGGGUGAUACAUUUUCAGCAGAUCAGGAGGAUUCUCUGCUAAUGAGGGGAAUUCCAGCCGUGCCCAGGAAAUGUCUUUCAUAACCUGCCUUUAUGUUUGGUCUCAUGGACAUUUUGUUUUGUUGCCAGAGCAUUUGCUAGGGUCAUGCCAACUCUAAUGAAGGGUGCCCGUGAUCUGAAACUUUGAUGGUUGAUGAAUCUCUCUGAUGGGAACACAAAGGCACAGACACUCAGAAAACCCUCAGCACAAAUGAUGAAGAUUCCUAUGAUGGUGCCCUAACCCCCAAUGUGACUGUGUUUGGAGAUGGGGCCUGUGAGGAGGUGAUAAAGGUUAAAUGAUGUCAUCAGGGUGGGCCCUGGUUUGACAGGACUAGUCCCUUCUAGCAAGAGGAGGAGACAGUGAGAAGGUGGCCGUCUGCAAGGCAGGAGGAGAGCCCUCACCAGGAACCAACCCUGGCACCUUGAACUUGUACUUCCAGCCCCCAGGACCAUGAGAAGAGCCUUGCUUCGUCACCAGGUGCCAGGCUGGAGUACAGCCACGCAAUCUUGGCUCAUUGCAACCUCUGCCUCCCAGGUUCAAGCAAUUCUCCUGCCUCAGCCUCCAAGGCCUGUUCCGGGGUGUGGGAGGCCUGCCAGGAGACCACGUGAACAGGAGAGAGGAGAACAUUCCUGGUGUCCAGCCGUGGGGAACAGUUUAUUUUCCAUAGCCCGAUGAACGGAAGGCAAAUUCAGACCCCGUGUGCAUGAGCUGGUAAAGGUGAGCAGCCUGCUUCUCUUGAUCUUGUAAUGAGUUUGUAAAUGCGGACACGCACACAUCCACCCUGGUUGCGCUUAGAGACCAGGCCUCCAGAGGCCCCAUCCCCUGGGCACAGCUACUGGGUGGUUAGCGGGAUGGGGUGGGGGUGGGGGGUCUGACCCUUGCUCACCUGCAAGGCAGGCCUCAGCUGGCUUUCUAUAGGCUCUACCUGAAGCUCCCUGAGAGAAGCAUUUCCCCAUGAGAACACUACUGCUUUAUUGAAAAACAGAACACAGGACCCAGGGGCCAGGUUGCUACAAACGGAGUCCAUGGUUCGAGGCCGGCAGAAGGCAAGGGGUGCUUGCUUAUAGCUGGGUGCCUCUCAUGGAGACAGGAGUCCCGCAGCCCCACCCAGCCUGUUCAUUGUUCAGACACCCUCAGUGCCUGGCACGGAGCUGGACUCAGGAGCUGCUGGGUGGUGUGUUUGGAAGGAAUGGCCUAGAACAAGCUGUGGGAGGGCCCGGAUGUGUGACCUCUCCCCAGCUAGUCUUUCCUCCUCGAAGAGCAGAGUGCUGGUCAUGUUGCCCACAGUGUGGCCACAAAUGUUUGUUCUCCUCCCUUUCCUCUCCAGAGCUUUGGAGAGGUCAAUGGUGACCUGGGAAGGGUGACACAAGGAAGGGCGGGUGCAGCAGAUUUAACCAGCUCAGAUGCCAGGCUGGCAAGAAUUAGGGUUGCUGGGUAAAAUCCCAGAUGCCCAGGUCAUUUGAGUUUCUGGGAACCCUGGCUAGAAUGGGGUUCUCAUGGACUUGGGAGGCCUGCAGGCAGCAGCUGGUCCCACGUGGAAAGGUGUGUUUUUCACAGCCGCAGACCCGAACCCUCGCCUCCAGUGGCCUUCCUACAGACACUUGUUGCUGGACACUAGUUACGAGAGUUUUGGGAGCAGGGGACCCAUCAGUGCAGCACCGUCUUCAUGCUGCCAGACGCGCACAGGGGCGCAGGUGGGGAGGAGGAGACUGGGGGCUUCAGACCUCAGGUCCCACCUUUCCUGGCAUUCUCCUUCCAGCUCAGGCAUGAGUUACUCCUGUGGCUGUGCUCAGAGGGUCUGAAGUUCUGUGUUCUGACCUAGACCCUGUUGAGACCCUGGAGAGAGAGAGCAAGGACUCAGGAUUUGAACCCCUGCGUAGAAUCCCUACAUUGCUACUGUGGAAAGGAGGCAUAGACAUCACUGUUAUGUUGCCUUGUGCUGCAGGUGGGCAACUGAGGCCAAGAAGGUUCAACAAGGUACUCAAGGGCGAGCCUCACGCUUCUCCUGCCCAAUUGUCCCCAUGCCCAGGGACAGAUGAAAGGAUUGGUAUGAUUGAAACAUAGCCAGGGGCUGGCUUUGCUCAGGUUUUGAAGCUGGCAUUUGUAAAUGUACUUGUAGGAAAAAAAUGAUUGCUUCAAAAAGGCAUGAAACAGAGGGAGCAAUGACGGAGAUGGUGCUGGCAGCAGUGUUGAUGUUUGAGAAAAGGACUUAGCUUUUACUCUGAUACAGAAUGUUGGUAUCACCUUGAAAGAUACAGGGCAAAUGAAAUCAGCCAAUUGGGCGUCAUGAGGUUAAUCAAAUAUGAAGAAGCGAAUUAGAUGCGGGCAUCUCACAUCCCCAGAGUGACCGCUGCGUGGACGGCCUGUGGGACUCAGAAUCCCGGGGUCGCAGGGGCCUGAAGGGCAGAGCAUUUGGCCCAGCUCUGCGCCCACCCUAGAGGCCGCUCUGGUCGGUCUUUGCCCGAGCUCAUCACUAAAGGGAAAUCCAUCCCUUGCUUUCUCUCUCUCUUUUUUUGAUAGUUAAAGUAUUUUAAAUCAAAAAGAAUUAAAAAAUGCUGAUGAGGAUGUGAAGAAAGCAGAACCCUUGUCACUGACAGUAGAAAUGUAAAUUAGUAUUGCCACUGUUAAAAAAUAAUAGGGAGGUUUCUCAGAAACCUAAAAAUAGAGUUAUGCUAUGAUCCAGCAGUUCCACUGCGGAACGUAUAGCCAAUGGGAAGGGAAUUAAUGUAUCAAAGUUUCCUCUUCUUUGGGUGGAUACCCAGUCGUGGGACUGCUGGGUCAAAUGCAUCCCUUGUUUCCUAAAGUGGGUAAUUUUUGUUCCCAGAAGCUAGUAGAAGUUUUGCUUAAUUCCAUUCAUGUGCAACUUACCCGUUACUGGCAAGCCAGGAGACUCACACACCUCAGGGAGAAAAGUGUCCUCACCCGACGCCUUCUCCAUUCUCAUUUAGUUUGAGAUGACAUAUUCUCCUAGUUCCUUUUCCUUGAGAGCAAAGCAUUUAUUUCGUAUCUGCAGGAAGCAGAACUGGCACCUCCUUGAGGAACUCCUUAAGACUUUACCUGGAACAUCCGUCACUCCUUAAGACUUUACCUGGAACACCCGUCUAUUGAGUUUUUCAUACAAUAGUACUUUUUUCCGUAUUUUGAAGCUAUAGUUAAUGUAGGUGUCACUCGGGCCUGUCUGCUGUGCUGUACAACCUGUGGUGACUAAGAUGGCAUUUGGCUGAAGGAAAACACCAGAUUCACAAUGAAGACUGUAUUAUUCUGGAUAUGUUAGUUUUACUUGUUUUAAGAAAAAAAAUUAUUUUAUCCAGCAUGGUGCUGUUUACAUAUUCCUUUCCUUGAUAAAUAACGAAGGUAUUGAGAACACCGUUUCUUCAAACUCUUUGAUCCCUGUGGCUUAGGAAGGUUGGAGACCUGCAGGCUCUGAACCAAAGACACAGAUCUGGCCAGAAAGUCCAGUUUUAUUGAACUCAGCAAAUUUGAUUUGACUCAGGCCAGGUCAUUCUUUAUUAUUAUUAUUUUUUAUUUGAGAAGGAGUCUUGCUCUGUUGCCCAGGCUGGAGUACAGUGGCCCGAUCUCGGCUCACUGCAACCUCCGCUUUCCGGGUUCAAGCAAUUCUUCUGCCUUAGCCUCCUGAGUAGCUGGGAUUAAAGGUGCCUGCCACCAAGCCCAGGCUGGGUCACUCUUUAUGGAGCAGACGGACAGGUGAAUGGGAUGUUGGCCUGAGCCUUGAUAAACUGGUAACAGGGAGGGUUAAGAGGGAACAUGAGACGGGGCCAGAAAGAACAGAAGAGCAAAGCCCAUUCCAUGGGAGAGAGGAGAGUCACGGAAACAGGAGAGGUGAGAAAGUUUGACUCUGACAUUUGGGGCAGCAGCUUUGGAGAGCAGCGUGGGGCCAAAGUGCAUCUAAUUCCACGGAAUUCUCUGUUGUCGUCAUUGACUGCGGGAUUGAAAUAAUAUUUUGGAGCGUUCCUGCUACUUUACCUUGGAGAAGAUACUUCCCAGAGGCCAAAAAUCAGCAAUUUUCUCCGCUGGCCGAAUGUGUUAUCUUCACCUUUGGCUUCCACAGGACAGAAAGCAAGCUUACAUUGAUUUUUUUUUUUGAGACGGAGUUUCGCUCUUGUUACCCAGGCUGGAGUGCAAUGGCGCGAUCUUGGCUCACGGCAACCUCCGCCUCCUGGGUUCAGGCAAUUCUCCCGCCUCAGCCUCCUGAGUAGCUGGGAUUACAGGCACGCGCCACCAUGCCCAGCUAAUUUUUUGUAUUUUUAGUAGAGACGGGGUUUCACCUUGUUGACCAGGAUGGUCUCGAUCUCUUGACCUCGUGAUCCACCCGCCUCGGCCUCCCGAAGUGCUGGGAUUGCAGGCGUGAGCCACCGCGCCUGGCCUACACUGAUUCUUGGUCUUGAUUUCCAGAUACAAAAGCAGCACCUGGAAUUUUCAAAGCUUCUAAACAGAUCUGGUAUGAGGAAGUAAGACUUCGUCCAUUUUCUUCCAAAUGAUCUGUAGAGAAAGAUGAACUCUGAGUUUAAUAUCACACAAGAGGCCAGCCCUAUCCCGUGCUCAUGGCUUCCUUUUGGUGCAGUUGAGGUUUCUGUGUGGAAUCAGAGCUUAUCUGAGACCUGCCAUUGGGAUGUCUCAUUGGCAUCACACAAACGUGAAGCCUGCAAUAGUGAGGGUGAGUUUCCUUUCUCCAGUUAACUCCUUUAAAGCCAAUACGUAUUUUGGUAAAAAUGUAUGUUUUAGCAUAUAUGUAAUGGGUAAGGAAGGUGUGCUGCUCCCUCUGAGGUUUCUUCCACAUCUGAGAAAGCCACAGGAUGUUUUGGCAGACGGAGUUGGCCAGAGUCAGAACGGGUCUGAGCAGUGUCACGCCAUUUGCUGCAGAAAAGGUGAUCCAAAAUGUACACACCAGACGGUUUCCAACAGUGGAACUCUUCUGCAGGAAGUCGAAAAUGACAACACAGAGGUGUAACAUGGUCCUAGGCUUUGUAUUAAAAUCGUCAUGCUCUCUCACAGCCAAGGGAGCUCCAUUCAGGGAAUGCUGUUUUCGUGGGAUGAAUCAAGAUGUCCUGAAAAUUCUGGGUCAGUGCUUCUCUAUCCUUUGAAAAGACCUUAAUAAGAAUUCUGGGUCUCCGUUGCGGAGAAUAGAAAACAUUUAGAUGCAAAUAUUAAUCGUUAAGUCUCAUGCAAACUUGAAUUUUGGGACAAUAUUUCCAAAGGAAUGGCAACAGAGGCAGCAGUCAGAACAAUGCAUGGGAAGAAUGAUGGGUGAGACACGGCCGGUGUGCAGCGGGCGUGCGUGUGUGUCUGUCUCUGGGUGCGUCUCUGUGUGUCUGCAUGUGUCUGUGUGCAUCUGUGUCUGUGUGUUUUCCUGUGUGUUUGCAUGACUGUGUGUACCUGUCUGUGUGUCUCUCUCUCUAUGUGUGAUUCUUUGCCUAUGUGUGCCCCUUUGCCUAUGUGUGCCCCUAUCUCUGUGCAUAUCUGUGUGUGUGCUUAUGUGUCUAUACGUGUGCACCUGGUAUGGGUUAGUGAGCAUGUCUGUGUGUGUUUCUGUGUGGAUCUAUGUGUCUCUGUGUGUGCAUUUGUAUUGGUGUGCAUCUCUGUGUCUGUGUGUCAGUGUGUCUGUGUUUGUACUUGUCUCUUUUGUGUGUCUUUGGGUGUUUGUCUGUGUGUUUGUGAAUGUCUUUGUGUCCGUGUGUACCUGUGUGUCAGUGAAUAUGUCUGUGUCUCUGUGCAUCUAUGUGUCUCUGUGUAUUUGUCUGUGGGUGUAUCUGUGUUUGUGUGUGUGCUUUCCUGUGUCUGUGUACCUGUGUCCAUGUAUGUGUCUGUGUGCAUAUCUGUGUGUACACUAUGUGUGUCUGUGUGGUUGUGCGUAUCUGUCUCUGUGUGUGUGUCUGUGAGUGCAUCUCUAUCCAUGUAUCUGUAUUUGUGUGUCUGUAUGUGUGUCUCUCUGUGUCUGUGUAUUUGUGUGUCUGUAUCUCUGUGUGUGUGACUGUGUGUUUAGUGUCUGUAUCUGUGUGACUAUGAAUGUGUCUAUCUGUGUGUCUGUGUAUCUGUAUCUGUGUGACUAUGAAUGUGUCUAUCUGUGUGUCUGUGUUAUCUGUAUCUGUGUGACUAUGAAUGUGUCUAUCUGUGUGUCUGUGUAUCUGUAUCUGUGUGACUAUGAAUGUGUCUAUCUGUGUGUCUGUGUAUCUGUAUCUGUGUGUACGUGUCUGGGGCUGUGUGUCUGUGUCUGUAUGUCUGUGAGUGUGUCUGUGUGACUAUAUCUGUAUCUGUGUGUGUCUGGGUGUGUAUCUGUACAUGUCUCUGUGUCUGUGUUUGUGUCUCAGUGUGUGUCUGUAUCUUGUGUUUGUUUAUACGUGUCUCUGUGUCUGUGUGUUUGUGUGUCCGUGGGUCUGUGAGGGUGUAUCUGUGUCUGUGUGUGUUUGUGAGUGUAUCUCUGUGGGUCUGUCUGUGUGUGUGUGACUAGGUGUGUGUUGAUGUGUUUGUGCAUGUCUGUUUCUGUGUUUGUGAGUGUGUGUGUAUCUGUGUGUCUAUCUGUGUGUGUAUGACUGGGUGUGUGUCAAUGUUUUUCUGCAUGUCUGUUUCUGCAUGAGUGUCUCUGUGUGUCUGUGGGUCUGAGUGUGUGUGUGUAUCUGUGUGUGUGUGGUUCUAUGUCUGUGUGUGUCUGUGUCUGGCUGUGCCUGUGUGUCUGCAUCUGUGUGUGACUAGGUGUGUGUUGGUGUGUUUGUGUGUGGUUCUGUGUCUUUGUGGGUCUGUGAGUGUGUGUGUGUGUGACUGGGUGUGUGUUGGUGUGUUUGUGCAUGUCUCUGUGGGUCUGAGUAUGUCUGUGGUUCUGUGAAUAUGUGUGUGUAUCUAUCUGUGUGUAUGUCUGGGUGUACACCUGUGUGUGUUUCCCUGUGCACCCCCAUUCCCACUGGGCAAUCUGCCAUGAGUGCAGGGUGCUGGCCGGGGAGGGCUUGUCAUCUGGGAGUGCCAGCAGACACCACCGCCAUCCGCAGCAAGCAUCCACCUGCUCCGCGGGCGUCUUUUUCAAGCAAGUUCAGCUCACCUCUGCUGCUUUUGGUUUUCCUUUGCUUAAUUGCAGGUGAUGAUUCAAAAAAGCCUUCACCUGUUUUCACCUGGCUUUCAUCUUUCGCAGACAAAGCAGGCUGGGGCCUGGGCCUUGAUCUGCGGCGUGCUCAGGCCCUGGGUAUUAAAGGGGCUGGGAUCACCCUCGGGCUUUUAAGGGUUUUUUUUGGGUUAAAUUGAUGAGCAUGUAUAAUAAAUUGAAGCUUUGUUGUUUGGCAGAUUUUUUUAUGUUUGUUAUUCUUCUAUCAGUGCAGAGACUGGUGUGGGGGUGGCAUCACCUUCUCUUUCCUCUCCACUGCUCAGAUUUGUCUUGGGAUCAUAAUGGACAGAUUUUAAGACUACAAAUCCUUUUGUUAUGUUUCUGUUUCUUCAAUAAGAGUCCUAAGUGCAGGUGUCCAAGUGUCCAGAUGUCCAGCGUUAAGGUAGCCGAGUCUGUGCUGGGCUGAGGGAUGUGGCCCCCGGAGGACUGCUGCUGCUGUUCCCCAUGUCUUUCCAUAGAGCGCAUGGCCUGAAGGUGAGGCCGUCCCACUCAGCCUCAGCCUCUCAGCACCCAGCUCCCUCCUGGUCCACGGCAAAUGCUCAGCAAACUCCUGUUUGUUGGACGUUAGGGGCUCAUUCGUCUGCGUGUAGUUCUCCUGUUCAUUUCUUUGGAAUGUUAUUGUGUACAAAGCAGAACUGAAGUAUAGGUAUUGUGCUUGGGACCCACUUGCCCCAUGUAAAGCAUUUCAUGGGUGCCUUGGAGAAGCACACCACACCUUAGCAGGACGAGUGUGCGCUGCCCCUAAGCCACGGCAGCUAGCAAUAAUCAAUUUCAGACAUGCUUGCCUGGGUCUGUACACAGACUGCACAGCUCCUGUUUUCUGCAUGGAAAGGGGACUGUUGAAUGUAUCUCUGAUGCUUCUGUUACAUACCAGAACAUAAAAUGACAGGUGUGUGUGUGUGUGAGUGUGAAGUGCAUGUGUGUAUUGCAGUAUUCAUUUUGGGGUGGACGAAAGGGAACAUUUCCCAAAUACUUUCUUUUUUCUUUCAGUAAAUGAGCUCUUACUCUUGGUAGUGUGUGGACAAUCAUGGAAUACACAGGAAGGUUGUGUUGACUGCGUUUUCAGUCCUCACCCCUCUUCUCGGGUUGAGGUGAUCGAACCCUGCCCGUACUUGCUAAAAUGCUCCACUCUGUGCCAAUUCUUUGUAAAUAAAACGGGGCUCCCCCUCCCCCACACCGUGGUUGCUUCCUGCAGCCCCAUUCACUACCACGUUCAGCCUAAUCACAUCUCUUGGAAAUAAUAUGAGAAAGUUAUGCUGUUUUACUCCAUCAGAUUUAAUAAGUUUGGAUGGUUUCCAAGUACUAGGCAUUAAUCACACUUAAACCCAGGCCUAGAUAGUUCAUCCACCCGGAGUAUUCAUGUCAGAGACAUAAAACAAUCUGCUUUAAUGCUCAGAGUCCUCUUGAAACUGAGCACUUGGCUCGUGUUAAUAAAACUUGCUUUCUACAGAGGGGCUGCAGAGGACGGGGCAUGGGGAUGUUUAUAUCAUGUAAAGCAUUUCAUGGGUGCAUUUUCCUGCGCUGUACUUUCUAAACCCAGUUUUAAAGCUCUGCAGAAUUAUAUGAAAAAAAUUAUGCAACAAGGUAAGCCUUGGAAUAAGGAAGAAUUAGUCACACCCUGGCAGCACCCAGAGUUUGGUUUACAUCAAAGUGGUGGAGAGAACGUUGUUCUUCUGACCUGACAGCUCUCCCAGCUCAGGGCUUCCAUUCUGGGAUGAUAGGGAAAUUGGAGGCAGCAUUCGCCCAUUUUCCAGCAGGUGGGUGUGCUGUACCCUCUCUUUAGAGCUCUCCAGGACAUCCAACAGCUGGAGAGAACCAGUGAAACCAGUGGGGGCUGGGGAGACCGACGGAAACGGACACUCACGAGGCUUGCUUCAUCGCCCAUCUGCGUGGGGUCUGCGU